rnacentral:rRNA from 1 species
GACGAACGCUGGCGGCGUGCUUAACACAUGCAAGUCGAACGGUAAGGCCCUUCGGGGUACACGAGUGGCGAACGGAUGAGUAACACGUGGGUGAUCUGCCCUGCACUUCGGGAUAAGCCUGGGAAACUGGGUCUAAUACCGGAUAGGACUCCUGCCUGCAUGGGUGGGGGUGGAAAGCUUUUGCGGUGUGGGAUGGGCCCGCGGCCUAUCAGCUUGUUGGUGGGGUGAUGGCCUACCAAGGCGACGACGGGUAGCCGGCCUGAGAGGGUGACCGGCGACACUGGGACUGAGAUACGGCCCAGACGCCUACGGGGGGCAGCAGUGGGGAAUAUUGCACAAUGGGCGCAAGCCUGAUGCAGCGACGCCGCGUGAGGGAUGACGGCCUUCGGGUUGUAAACCUCUUUCAGCACAGACGAAGCGCAAGUGACGGUAUGUGCAGAAGAAGGACCGGCCAACUACGUGCCAGCCGCCGCGGUAA